GCGUCUCUAGUUUAACUGGAUAAAACACUAGGUUACGGGCUUAGUAAUGUGGGUUCGAGUCCUGCGAGACGUG
rnacentral:tRNA from 1 species